rfam:Puccinia triticina 1-1 BBBD Race 1 supercont2.11, whole genome shotgun sequence.
GACAACGUGGCCGAGCGGUUAAGGCGAUUGACUAGAAUACAGAUGAUUUCUAAGGCUGCUGUCUCCGGACAGCAAUGUCUACCAUCAAUUGGGAUUUUCCCGCGUAGGUUCAAAUCCUGCCGUUGUCG